ACUUAUUCAAUACACUUCUUUCACUCACUCUCUUCACCCACACACUCUUCUCUCUCUCGCUUUCUCUUCAAUCAACAAAAUAGAACUAAAAAAGUAAAAAUCAAAAUUAAAAUAUAAAACAGCAAAAAUUAAAAGCAAAAAAUCAGAUCAGCAAACAGUUUGCUACUUUUACCUGUUUUGUUUUAAUUGCUUCGAUUUUCAUCUCACAAGCGUUCAAAUUUUGCGAAGCUGAAAGCUGCAGAAUGGGUGGAAUUUGCUUCCACUUCUCGUUGAAGCGCUUCCAGGUGGGCUUCUCAAAACGAUCCGUUCAAUAUCUGAAUUUCUGAUAAUAAAUUUUUGGUUUUGAAGUGAUUUUGUAGCUUAGAAUUUGUUUAUUUAUUUAUGUUUUGGUCCUUUUUUUUUAAUAUUUCUGUUGCUUGACUUCAAGUAUUUACAUGGAGAAGACACAUAAUGCAUGAUGUCUAUCAUGUAAUUUUUAUAAUUAUUUUAUUUAAAUUAUAUGUGUUGUAAUAUAUAUCUUAAUUAUAGUGUAAAAACAAUGAUAAUGUAAAACUUUUUUUUUUAUUAAUGCUAAUAGUAAAACUUUAUCACCAUGAAUUUUUUUAUAAUUAUUUUGUUUAAAUUAUUUAUGUUAUGUUUAUGUAUGUAUUAGAUAAAAAAUUAUUUUCUAUCUAUAAGUAUGACUUAAAUGUUUAGUAAAAAUAUUUUUGAAAAUAGUACUACCAAACUCACUAUUUUUAUCAUUUUCAAUUGUGUCUACCGAACGCAUAUUACUACUUUCAAUUUUAAAAUAUACAAUACAAAAAAUGAUAUCAAACGCAUACUUAAAUUCGAAAUACAAUAAUUAUAAAAAAUCAUUUUCAUUCUCAUUUUUGUUCUUAGAAAAUAAAAAUUCAAAAAUAAUACCGAACAUGCCCUUAUCUACUCUUAAUUGGGACAACUAACUGUACCAAUAUUUAUCUUCAAAACUCAAAAAUUAGUGAAAUCUUGCUUCUCUUUUCACGGUGGAUUUUUUACAUUGGAUGUAGGCAAGAAUAUAACCGACCACUAUAAAUUAUAACUAUUAAUUUACUCCGAUACCUCUUGUUAAACACAAACAAAUAUCUCCACUUAUCUUUAGAAACACCAAUCAUGCAGAAAAUACACCUUUAAUAAAAAACAUGCAAUGCGAAUUGAAAAUUUUGAACCAACUCUUCCAUGUAGAUUCAUGUUUGCAUAUAGCAACAUUAUUAUCAUUCAAUAAGAAUAAGAAUCACAUCCCCAUUUACAACACAAAAUUACAAUAUAAAGGGUCAAAACACCUGGUAAGAAAUAAAAAGUAUUAAGAAUAGAUCUAGUAAACUACAACUCUUCCAAAAACAAGGAAAACUUCAAACCACUGGCAAAAUAGGGACACUCUUUAGACCCAAAAGAGGUGUAGAGUAAAUAAGUAAUAAUAAUAAUAAACCCAUCAUACUCAUUGGAAAAAGGGGUUAAAAAUUAAAGGUAUCAGGGUAUAUUUGUACCAAUGUGGCAACAUUUUUAUUAAUAACCACAAUAUUUUUUUUUAUCUCGAACUUAAAAUAUUAGUCGUGAAGCUUUAUGUAACAAUUUAAAUUUGUUGUUUACUGAAAAAUGAAAUAAUAGUUAAACUCUCAAUCGUUAUUUUUAAAAUUUUCGUAAUCUCUUAAAUCUUAUUUUAUCUGCAUUACGUAUGAAGUGUAAGGUUGUAAUGACAACUACAACAAUAAUUGGAAAAAGAAAAGUAGAUGAAAUAACAAAUUAAUUAACCGCAAUAAUAAUAUAGGAUUCAUAAAAAUUAACUUACUGUAAAUGAAAGGCUACUCUUUUAUGACAAUAAGAAUUUUAUUUAAACACGAAAAUUUCUUUCCAAUUAGUUAUGGACCAGCAUGAGUUUGGUGCUUAAUGGAACUCAAAUUUCUAAUAAAUAUUUACAAAAUACAUUAUAUUUUGAUCAAUCUUACAUAUGAAGGAAAUUAAUUGUUUGCUUCUGUACAUGGAAAAUAUUUACAAACAAAAUUUGGGACUUGUUUAUUGGACCGCAAGGGCCAUGGCCCAUGGGUGCUAUAAGCCUUUUACUAUUGUCAUAAUAAUUCACAAGUGUGCAGUGGCUUUAAGAUUAAUUAAUUUUUGCUAAAGCUUGAACAGAGACUUUAAAAUUCUUCAAUUUUGUGUCAGAUUUUGCUUGUUAUUAAUUUGUUGAUCUUCAUUCUAUGCUAAAUACCAAUGUUUGAAGGUAGUCCUUUCUAUUCAUUGAGAUAUCACUUUGUCAUAGGCAUUGUAUGUGUGUGUAUAUAUAUAUAUUGCAAUAAUUAUUAUUGGAAAUUUGUGGAGGGUGUACCUAGACUCUUUUAUAGUGCAGCCUAGAUAAUAUAUUAAUAUAAAUGAAAGGAAGUGAUUUAUCAUUUACCAUCUAAAAAAUGGGCAGUUCCAUAUUUUUUUACGUAGUUGUUCGUGUACUGAAUAUUCAAAAUACAAAUAGCAAAGAAAGUUUCCAUUCCCUAAUUAAGAAGAAGUCAGCAUGAUUGAGCUGAGAUAUCAUACAGGAUAUGAGGCUUGUUAUAGUUGCUCUUCAGGUUAUACAUAUACUAGAAGAGUAAAAAUGUAGUAACUCUCACUGAUGUCACACAUUAUGGAGAAAAAGAGGCUUCAAGUCUCCAGUUUUUGGUAAGUGGUGGAGGAGAUGAGGAAAAGUGAUGAUCGUGUCAGGGUCUUGCCUCUAUUAAUUCCUAGGCCUAGGCCUUAUGAUUGCAUGGAAAGGAUUUAGCUUGUGAGUAGUGAGGCCAACAGUAUCAACACUUUCUUCCUCACCCUCUCUCAGAUUCCACUUGAAUUCCUGCACCAGCCUACCUAUUGCUGUGCAAGCUAUUAAACUUGCCUGAAGAGAACCUGCGCACACCCUCUUUCCUGCUCCAAAGGCCGUUGUCUUGUACAAAUCUGCAGGGUCGUUUUGCCCAUCAAGAAAUCUCUCGGGUUGCCACUCCUCUGGGUUUUCCCACUGUUUCUUGUCCAUGUUGCAUCCGUAUAUGUUUAUUGCAAUCUGUGUAUGCAACAUAAAUUAAAGUUAACAUCUAACACUGCAGAUACCAUUAGUCGGAACCACAAAGAUUUCAAAGGAAACUAAGCUAAACAACAACCUCACUUCUAGCAGGAAUGAAGUAUCCUCCUAUUUCGGUAUCUUCAUGUGCAAAUCUUAAAGGAACUAUUGGAGCUGGACUGUACUUUCUCAGAGUUUCAUGGAAAACAGCUCCCAAGUAAGGAACCUGUGCUAUGUUUUCCUCCGUAAACUUGUUUGACCCACAAACUGAUUGAAUCUCCUGAAAUAGACGGUCCUGUAGUGUGUAUAUAUAUAUAUAAGGAACAUCAAUAUAUGCAAAAAAUUUUGAACAGGUAGCAAAGAUCAAAAUUCAUGGAGAGACUAGCGAUUGAUUAAUUAACCUGUCGCAUUGGAUCCUUUGCCAGCUCAUACAUGGCCCAUUCUGUUGUGACCAAAGUAGUAUCUGAUGUCUCGAUGAUAGGCUCCCAGAGCAGCAUGCUUAUUUGUUGCUCUGUAAGUGAUUUUACUUCUGACAACAAGUGAUCAACAUAACAAUUCAGUUCCUGUCCUGAAGCAAUUCUGCUUUUGGCCUCGCUGAUGAGGGCAUCCAUUACUGCUUGCCUGCGGGUACACAAUCUCUGAAUUUUCAUUUCCACGCCUUUAUUAGGAACCCAUCUUAGGUAAGGGAAGAAGUCUCUCCAGUCCACCUCAAUUGCUCCCUCCAUUAUGUCAAGCACUAAAAUUUUAAAUACCUCAUCUUUUGACAAUGUGGAACCAAGCUCCUUCACAUAAAUUGAUUCCACAACCUUUCCUACAGCCUGAAAAUGCAAAAUGCUUUAAUUAUCUAUGUAUCUAGUCAAAGAUAACAGAUGAAUUUCCAACAAAAGAUCACAGCUAGCUCACCUGUUUCAUUGACACUGCAAAAAGUUCAGACUCAAAUAUUUUCCUGAAAUUCACUAGUUGUAGAGGAUUGUCCUUGAUGUGAGCAUGAAAUUGGGUUGACAUAAUUUCCAUCAUUGUGUCUCUAUGGAUUCGAUGUCGCUUCUGAAUAACACACAAACAGAGAGGACACAUCAUUAGUUUCGGCAGUACAAUAAUUCCAUACAACAUAUAAAGGGACACGGUGAAAGCACGAGAAAGUUGGAUUAGCAGAUUAACCUGAGCAUUUCCACCCAAAACAUUUGUGAGUAAACAUCGUUUAGCCAUUUUGUGAAAUUCAUCGUAGUCACUUGUUGCAACCAUACAUUUAUUAGAGGUGAGCAUCUUCAGGGCAUUUGAUAGCUUCCUUGUUGAAAUGGAUGGAUAUCUGGUCACCAUGGCCUGGAAGAACAAACAAUAAAUUAAAACAUUUUAAUCAUUGAUUGAUUGAUUUCUCUUCUAUGUGUCCCUUAUUAGUAACUAAUUAAAGCCACAUGAAUAUAUGAAUUAACUAAUGACAAGCAAACUGGACAUUUUAGUGAAUGAGACAUCUUGAUUGUCAACCUAACGACCUAACUAAAGGGAUUCAGUAUGCAGCUCACUCAAACUUACACCCGAGCAGUAAAGUUACCACACAUUAUCCAACAGCUUAAACAUGAUAUGCACUAUUAAUUGUACAGCCCGGGUCCAACAAUUAAGUAGAUAUUAUUCAUUUUGAUCACAUAGUCGUCACAGUUUUGUUCUGGGCUUUUUUACUUAAAACGCAUCUACUUGGUUAAGAGAGUCUUAUGCCUUACAAACUAGUUCAGUUCAGAAACUGACUCGCUAGCUAUUUGUGAUGUUACGUUAACAAUUCCACCUGGUCACAAAAUUGAAUCUAUAGUUUGCAGUGUUAAAAGAAUAGAACCAGAAUGCAUACCUCUUUAGCAACAUCAGCCGAAUUGAGAACAAUCAUAGUGGAAGCUCCAGUUUUGAUAGAAUAAAUUGGUCCAUACACCUCUGCCCAUCUUGUGAAAGUCAUGUGUGGUUUCUUCUCUUUCAACUGUAACAAAUUUCCUAUAAGGGGUAGCCUUCCUGGAACCUCUGCACCAACCCCCCAACAGCAACCCAUUGAUCAUUUAAAUUAAUCAAUCAAGAACAAAGAACUGAAGAGACGAAACCAUAUAUACAUACCUGGAACAGUUGGAAGAUUAACAGCCAAUUCCAUCCUCUGCCUGGAGAUGAACCCUCUAAUGAAGAACAAGAAGAAAAACACAGAGAGAGUACCAAGAGCAAUGGAGGUGGCAAAGGGUACUGCUUGAAAUUCUUGAAAUGCUUGAGUGACGUACUCUUUGGUGGCCAUUGUUGUUUUUUUUUUUUUAAUACUCAAGUAUAGUGAAAAAGGUCUAAGAUUCUGUAGAUAGAGAUGUUCAAGGUAUCACUUGAGGAUUUGUAAUCAUAUACACACAUGGAUUGUUUAAUUGGAAUGUUAUAUUUUCAAGAAACAUUUUGCUAAAGUACAGGUAGAAUUGAUCCGUCAUGUGACGAAGACAGAUGAUCAAAUUAUGGCCUGUCUCUGAGUAUAAAUUGGCCAUGUUGGUGCUUUCUGUUUCUGACAAGUGCUUUGCAGGAAGGAUUCCCUUUUGGCGUUUACCGAUUUGGAAGGGGCCAAACAAUUAUGUUAGUGUUGUGGAUAGUGCCAAAAUGGGGCAUGGGAUAAUGCAAAGGAAUCAAGAUAGCUCAGAUACUGUCAUUAGAUAAGAAGAUAAAUAAAUAUAUGCUCAAAUUCAAACAACUAGUACAAUAAAAAAAAAAAUUUCAUCACUGCCGUGCAUCUGCGGUUGUAGGUCAGUGCUUUUCAUGCCUUCAAGAGUCGAUAAUACGAUACUUACAGUUUCAUUCUCUUUAAAUAAUGAUAGAAUUUUUUUUUUCUUGUACCUUAGUGAGAGUAGAUUUCUUUUUUUUUUUAUUACAUGAGACUAUUGCUCAGAUUACAACUCAUAUACAUGAGACUAUUACUGAUAUUUACAAAUCAGACUAUUACUGGGACCAACUGACAUCAAUACUAAUGAAGCUCUGCCCAGAUUUUAACCCUCACAAAUAUUCGAGGGAUGUCUACUCCUCACUCAUGGGUAAGAGAGAAGACUACCUUCACUCAAAUUAAUUGAGAAAGGAAAUACCCCCACAAUGCUUUUGUGGGGGUUCGAACUGCUGCCCUCCAAGUUGGAGGGCAGCAGCCCUGGCCACUCGGGCUACUGCCCGAGUGGUUAGUGAGAGUAGAUUUCUGAACAAAGCACAAUAGACAUUUUGGAUUGAACUAAAAUAAAUGUCUAAAUUUAGAGUCCUAGUAUAUUACGGAUCAAUUUUUAUUGCUUAAUGAAACUCAAAAUUUUGAAGAAAUAUUUGCAAAAAUACAUUGUAUUUUGGGAUUUUUGAUCAACUUUACAUCUUAAAGGAAAUUAAUUGUUUGCUUCUAUAAAUGGAAUCUCCACGACGCGAGAUAAAUAUUGGACUUGUCUAUUUGGACCUUAAAGUGGUCUAUGGGUGAAAUGAGUCUUUUACUAUUGUCGGCAAUACAAAUAAGUAACAAUGUUGAAGUAAUUAAAAAUAUAUAUAUUUCUUUAAGAUAAAUUAAUUUUUAUAAUUCAUUGGACUUCCCAUUCUAAAUGCCAAUAAUCCAAAGGUGUUUAUUAUAUCUAUCUAUUGAGAUAUCAAUUUAUCAUGGGUAAUUGGGUAUUGGGAAAAAAAUUAUCAUAAGCAUUGUAACUUUUUAUAGAAAUAUUAUAUUUUAAUUUACUUAUAUUCUUAUUGGAAUUCCGUGGAGAGCGUAGAUUGAUUCUUUUAUAAUGCAGCCUAGAUAAUAUUAAAAAAUAAUUUAAAAAGUGAUUAACCGUUUACCAUCCCAAUAAAAAUAUUGGGUAGUUUUUACGUGUAGUGUACUAGCUAGUCGUAUAUUGAAGAUUCAAAAUAUGAACAUUGAAGAAAUUAAGAAGUUUCCAUUAUCCCAUUAAGAAGUUGUAAGCGUGAUUGGGCUGCACUCUAAAAUUAUAGCCAUAAUUUCAUUUUCAUAUUGCAAGACAAUCAUUUUCUCUUUUGACUUUGGCUAAGAUAUUGCGCCGCUGUGGAAUAUGCUCUAGUGUGUAUAUCUCACUAAGUUUUUCUGCUGUUACUUUUUAUAUUGGACGGAUAAGGCCCUAUAAUUGCAGUAGCUCAACCACACAGCAUGUGUUGUUGGAAUGCAAUGCUUUGAGCAUGACAAGAUUGACUGCAUUUUGGAUUUGAUGUCUUGAGGGGGUGCGUUUAUGGUAGAUAUCAAAGAUCCAAAAUGAUGCCCAAACAUUUGAUUCUUUUUAGAGCAUGUAAAGAAGAGAUAAUAAUUGGGGUUUGUUUGUGUGCUUAUUCCUCUUUGCACCUUUGGGCAUUUGAGGCUGUUGCAUUGUUUUUCUCUUCAAAAAAGAUUAUGCAAUUACAAGAAAGCUGUUGCUUGCAUAUUUUCAAAUAUUGUAAAAUGGAUACAAAAACUAUUUUUGUUAUAGAGGGCUAUUCGAAUUUUAAAAGUAGGGUGUUAUAACUUCAAAUUCACAGUUACGGACAUGAUGGGAUAGAGAGUUGUUGAGGAUUAUUUACUUUUACUUUUUAGCACCAAACACUUAAUAAGAUUUAUUUUCGGUCAUUUAGAUAUUUUUCGAAAUCUAAAUUUCUACUUUAAAAAUCACUUAUUUUAAGUUUAUAUAUAUAUAUAAAGGUUAAAACUAGGGAUGACAAUGGGGUGGGGUGGGGAGGCCUACCCCAUUUCCCACCCGAUUAAAAAUUUUUGCCUCCAUUCGCCAAUAAAUUUAGUGGGUUGGGGAUGGAGAAUCCCCACGUGAGGAAUGAUUUCCCCAUCCCCACCUCAUUUUCCAUUUACCUAUUUUAUAGUAUAUAUAAAUAUAUGAUUUUAACAAAUUAAAAAUUAGAGACUUAAAAUAAAAUCAUCACUAUAUUAUAAAGUAUUUAAUUUUUAAAAAAAUGACUAAAAGUUUGAAACAAUAUAUUAAAAUGAUAUUAAAAGUGAAAAAUAUUUAAAGAGAGCAACAUCUUAAAAAAGAAAAGAAAACAUAAUAAUAUUUUAGAGUUAAAAAAUAUUGUAGGAUUUUCUUUUAUUCAUAUCCUGUUUAUAUUACAUAAAAAUUAAAAAAAUUAUUAAUUGACAUUAUAGUUAAUAAAAUAAAAAUUAUUAAAUAAGAAUUAAAAAUAUAUUUAUAUAUAAUAGGGAUUGGGGUGGGGGUGGGGGUGGAGUGGGGAGUGCAAUACCAAACCCCACCCCAUUAACAAUUUAGAGAUUAUUUUUCUCUCAUUCCCCACCCCAUUCCCCAAAAAUUAUUAAAAAAUUUUCUCAUUUGGGGUGAGGCUCCAUAGGCCCUAAACCAAUGGAGAAUUUUGUUAUCCCUAAUUAAAACAUCUAAUAAUUGUAAACAAAUCAAACUAAGCGUUAAAUGAUAAAUACAAACAAGUCCUUAAUAAUGAUUCUAUUUUGUAAGAUCAACCAUUACAAACGGCUUCUUAAAAGCAUCAACAACUCUCUCAAGUACAAAAUUUAUUUUAGUGGCUAUAGCUAGUAAUGUCUCUUUCUCAUCAUUACAAUUGCAUGUUAAUCAUUGUUAAAUCUUGUUCUAUAAUUUUUAAUCUCAGCCGUGUUUGUUAGAGAAUAAUAGGGGCCUAGAAACUAGAUAUGUGUGAUGUCCUUUUCAAGCCCAUUUUUACGUUAAGGUCAAAAUCAAUUUCUGAGAAAUGAGAGACACUUUUAAUAGUGGCCAAGGUGAGAUGAUUCUGAGUUCACUUUUGGGCCUAGGCCCUUCGGUGUCAUUAUAUAUAUAUAUAUAUAUAAUAAUUUUCUGAUCUGGGAUAAUAAAGUACGAGAAACAUUUGAGAAAAUUUUAAAACUGCAGGAUUUUAAAAGUUUAAAACUUAAAACAAUUAAACUGCACGGUUUCCGCAUUUUUCCAGACGUUCCCGCAUUUUAAAAUUAUAUAUAUAUAUUCCAAUAAGGACCGGGAUCGUGGAAAGUGUGUGAGUGUUCAAGAAAUAAACAAAAUUAAAGAUUUUAAUGGUCAAUUUUAAUUGGUGUGUGGUUUUUAAUCGGUAUGUGGCGUUGUUUCCAGAUCGAUGCAGAACUUAAUCUGCCUUUGGAACCAGAUCUGACUUAGAACAUAUCAAUAUCCUGCACGUUCUGUUUUCCAGCCUAUAUACCAAACUCUUUAGAAAUUUUUAAAAUUAUUCUUUAGCAAGCCUAGCAAUAGAUCUAAAGGCUCAUAGACAGUAUUAGAUCUGGAUCCCAGAAAUAAUACUCUGAAUGGUUGGAGGGAGAAGAGAAGGUACAACAGAAGACAGAGAUCUGGUCUCUUUGCCUCUGAGGAAUGUAACAAUUUAUAUGGCAGAUCUGAUACAGAUCAGUCUGCAAAGCAUGCAUAAAAUUUAAAUUACUGAAAUUUAAAUGCUUUAAAAUAAAUUACGGAAAUUAAAUUGCAGAAAUUUAAACAUACAGAAAUUUAAAUUUAUUACAAACUUUAAAAGAAAUUACAAAUCUUACAUUUGAUUUUUUCUUGCUUUGGUUUUCUUUAAAGAAAAAUAUUACAGAAGAAAUGGGAAAUUAAUCUGAAGACAGGAAAAUUUCCUUGAUGCCUUCUGAUUUUUGAUUCCCCAAGAGAGAAAGAAAGGAAAGAAGAGGAGAGAUCCCCGAGAAAAUAUGAGAAAGGGAAAAUUAAAUCUGAGGAGUCUAAGUCUUCCUCCCGAUUUAAAUACAAAGGUCGGGUCUUUAACUGUAGCGAGUCUGUAGCUUCACAACUGUAGCGAAACUGUAGCUUCCUGACUGUAGUGAAACUGUAGCUUCCUGACUGUAGCGAAACUGUAGCUUAAAACAGUGGCUUUACAAGAGAAAUGCAUAAAAUUACAUGAAAAUAUAUAAGAGGAAAAUUCGGGUGAAGAGACAUGUGCGCUCUCACUUGUGUCCAGGGGACCACCCAAAGUAAUACAAGUAAUAGAAUUUUACAGGAAUUAUAAAAUGGAAUACAAGUGAUAAAUACAGAGGAAAAAAUAGAAAAUUAGUACCCUUUUUUUCUUUUUUUUUCAAUUUACAAAUUCUUUAACAAUGCUUUACAGGAGGGAAAAUGCCGAAGCAAUCAUUUUCAUUUUCAUCUCUAAGGGAAAUGAAUGGCUCGGCUUCUCCAGAAGAGCUUGAACCGGAACUUGCAACUGAUGGCUCAGAUCUCGAUGCGAGAAUCUGUUCCAUGACUUUAAAAUAUUCUUCUUCUAUUUUGGCACCGGCCAAAAGAGAUUGGGCUUUGGAUUUUUGGGUAAGGAAGGUUCCUUGGGCUUUAAUGUCUUUGAUGGUUGGUUGUAGAAGGCCUUUAGAGGAGAGCCAAUUUUCGAUCAUGUUAACAGUCAAUUUAGACUGUUCAUCAAAUUUUGAUCACCAUUUGACUUUAAAGGUUCUUUGUAGAAUUAAUUGGGCAUCUUGUGGAUGGUAUCGAAAGUUCCACAUCCAAACCCAAGGGAGAAAGAAAUUUGUACAGAAGCAGAGAAAAGGAAGAAAUCGUUUAUCAGACUCUGUAAGUACAUAGUGGGUUUUAAAAAGAUUUAGGCACUCGAUGGCAUUUUGGGUGAGGAUUUCGGGGCAUGGGCCGAAAUAAUUCCACCACUGCUGGAACCAGUUUGGGAGGCUUUGGACGGUUAUUUUUGGAUUGAAAAAAAAUAACCAAGAAUGGGUUCUUUUUGGGUUUUGUAUAAAAAAUGUGUUAAACCAAGCCUGUUGAUAGUCCCAGUAGGAAUAGGACAGGCAGUGUGGUAAACACAUUUGAAAAUUGGCGGGGAAAGGCUUUAGUUUGUGAAGUUGGUCUCCCUACUGUUUUGGGCUCAAAACUUUUAAAAUGGUGGCUGUGGAGUAAGCUGGUUCUAUAUGGGUUUCACUAAGGAAGAAAUGUUUGAAUUUUAUAGACUCAGAAGACUUCAAAAUGCUUUGGUAAUAAGACUGGGGUUUUGUCAAAUCCCAAGGUUUGAAAAACCAGCCUUUGGGAAAUUUUUUUGAAAUUGCUUGAAAGGGAUCAGUGUGGUAAAAACCAUCUUCUAUGGAUAAAAUAUUUUGGAAAUGGGUUUUAUCAUACCAAUCCGAUGUUUUCUUUGAAAGCUUUGUUUGGGAAAGAACAAUCUGAGAAGAUGAACUUUCACUAGAAAGAAUCACAUUUUGUGAAGAAGUUUUAGAAGUUUCUUUAGAAAUAGGUUUUUCUUCUUUAGAAGAAAUCUGGCUUUGAGAAAAACUUUGUAAAGCGAGCAGAAGCUCAGGGGAUUUAGAAAUGGAUUUCAUCCAUUCAUUUACCUGCUCCUGGGAGGCAAGGGCUUUGGAUUGGGCUUCUUGGUCUUCAAUAGCGUCAAUCCAAGACUUUAUAGGCAUUGCUGAAGAAAGUAAUUUUUCUUUAGGUGGAGAGGAUUGGGAGGCUUUAGGGGUUGUUUUGGAUAUAGGUUCUGUGAUGAUCCCUUUCCCUUUGUCUCGUCUUUUAGGCGGCAUUAUCUGUUUUGAAGAAAUUCCCUAAUUAGAAAAUCAGAGAGAGAAUUUGUAUAUGCUUUAAUAAAUUCAAUAUCAAAAUCAAAAACACUUAAAAUCGCUUGCCAACGUGCAAAAAUAUGUUUAGAUGCAAUGUUUUGAACAUCUUUUUCCAAAAUGUGUUUUGCAGCUUUGCAAUCAAUUCUAAGCAGAAACUUUUGAUUUAAUAAAUCGCUUUGAAAUUUGGAAAUGCAUAAAACAAUGGAUAAAAUUUCAUUUUUAAUAGUAGAGUAAUUUUUCUGGCAUUCAUUCUAAUGUGCAGAAACAUAUUGUACUACUUGUUCUUUAUUACUGUCAACUUGCUUUAAUAUCCCACCAUAACCUAAGUCUGAUGCAUCAAUCUCAACAAUUUUAGACAAUGCAGGAUUUGCAAGAAAUAAACAUGGAAUAUUUUUAACUAUGGUCUUUAUGUGUUUAACAAUUUUUGUAUGUUCUUCUGACCAUGCAACAGGAGUUUUCUUUAACCUAUCAUGUAAUGGUUUGGUGAUCCUAUUGAUAUUAGGGCAAAAAUCAAGAACAUAAUUUAAACUGCCCAAAAAUCUUUAUAAUUGGGUUUUAUCAAGGAUUUUAUCAGGAAACUUGUCAGUGAAGGCAAGUGACCUUUCAAUGGGAGUGAUGGUUCCUUUGGAAAUGUAAUGACCAAGAAACCGAACUUUAGUUUGAAAUAAAGAAACUUUAGAACUAGAAAUGGCUAGACUAGUUUUUCUAGUUGCCAAAUAAAAAGUUUUUAAAUGUUUGAAGUGUUGUUCAAUUGAUUGAGAAAAAAUCAACACAUCAUCUAUAUACACAAUGCAAAAAUAAAAAAAAAUGAUUAUAAAUAUCAUUCAUUAUUCUUUGAAAUUCUGAAAGUGCAUUUUUUAAACCAAAAGGUAUUAUUGUCCAUUCAUACUGACCAAAUGAAACAGUGAAAACAGUUUUAUAACGGUCUUUAGGAUGAAUUUGGAUUUGCCAAAAACUAGAUUUCAUGUCAAAUUUUGAAAAUAUGAAAGCAGAGUGUAGUUUUUGGAGCAAAUCUUUUUUAUUAGGUAUAGGGUACCUAAUCCAUUUUAAUGCUUUGUUAAGAGGUUUAUAGUUUAUUACCAAUCUAGGAGUUCCUCUUUCUAUUUCAGAAUUCUUGUUGACAUAGAAAGCGGCACAAGACUAAGGAGACCUAGAUUUGACAAUAAGUCCUUUAGAUUCUAAAUCUUUGAUUUCUUGUUGACAGUGUUUUUCCAAAUCCAUAUUCAUUUGAAUAGGACGGGCUUUAGUAGGGAUUUGUCUUUCAUCAAAAGAAUUUUCAUAUGGCAGGUCAACCAAAUGUUGUUUUCGGUUCCAAAAAGCACUUGGUAAAUCAGCACAUAUUUCUUUCUCAAUUAGGGUUUUGAAAUCAGAAAUUUUUCUUUGUAUAAAUUCAUUUUUUAAUUGAUUUUCGAUUCUUUGUAAACUCAAAUCUUUUUGUAAGCAAGUUAAAUCAAUUUGUUUUGUUUUGAGCAAAACGUUUAUUUGAUUCUGGUAGACAGAACAGGCUUUAACAAUAUUUAAAUUUCUGGUUUUAGGUUUUUCAAUAAAAGGAAAAAUUAACUUGUUCUUCUUUGCUUUAAAAGAUAUAGUAUCGUAAUUGACGGUAUAGGGAGUAAUGAGGUUUAUAAAAGGAGUUCCUAAAAUAACAGCAUGAUGGAUGUCAUUUGUUAAAAGAAAGGAAGUCCUGAAUUCAAAACCAUUGUUAUGAAUCGAGGCAUCAACUUUGGAUUUAAUUCUUAGUUUUGAAUUGUUUGCGGCAGAAAGUCUUUCAUUAGUUUUUUCUUGAAAUUUCUUUGGAACAAUAUCUUCUUUAAUACAAUUUAAAUCAGCACCAGUGUCAAAAAGAGCAAUGGUGUCUAUUUCAAAAUCUUUAGAAAAGGUCAGGGUAAUUUUAAUCAAAUACUUUCUUGUGGUAAUUUGUUUUAAAACAAAUAAAAAAUCAUUAGGUAUAGAUUCAAUGUUUUCAAGAUUUUGUUCUUCAUUAUCAUUAUCAUCUGGUUCUGAUUCUUUAUCAGAAUUUUCUUGUAAUUGUCUUUGUAAGAGAAGUUGAAUGGUUUCAGAAUCAUUCUUUUGUUUUUCUUUCAAUUCUUUUAUUUCGAGUUUAAUAUCUUUAAUCUCCUUUUGAAGGUCUUGAAUAUUGGGAGUCAUUGUUUUCUUUGUUUUCUUUUUGUCCAAAAUUUCAGUGAGGUCAUAAGUAUUCUUUUUUAUUAUUGGGGCUUUAGAAGUUUCUGCUUUAUUGAGUUCUAGAGCUUUUAGAAGUUUAUCGAGGUAUUCCUUUUGAUGGUUUGGAUCAGAAAGGUGUUUAACUAACUCGAGAAAAGUUUCUUGGUCUUUAGUCAACACAUUAAUUUUCUUUAAGUAGGAUUCUGCACUACUAGUGUCAGAAUCGCUGGAAGAUAUAGAAUCAGAGUCAUUCAACUCAUCAACAUGUAGGGGUUCAUUGUCUUCCGUCAUGGAAGACUCAGAAUCAGAAAAUUCUACAAGUAAUGGGGCAACUUUAGAGAGAAUAUCGUCAUCAAGGCCAAGCUCAUGGAGCUUUUUGUUCAUUCUACAAAAUUUUGCAGUAUGGCCUUUCUUUCCACAUUUGUAACAUGUGGCUUCUUUGUAGUUAAAAGGGGUUCUUUGUUUGGGCUUGAAAUAUUUCCUUUUAGAGAAGCUGGGCUUCUUAUAAGGCCUCGAGGGUUUCUUAUAAGAAAGUUGAUCUCUAAAAUCUUGGAAGGGUUUUCUAUGGCUCUUAGAUUUGUAAUGUUUCUUGUAAGGUUUCGAAGAACACUUACCAUUACAAUAUUUAGAAGUGGAGGUUUUAAAGGGAUCAUAAUUGAAUUGCUUACAGAAAUUGCCUAGUUCUUACUUAGAUUUCCUAAGCUCCCAUUUUAGACGUUUCUGAAGUUUCAAGUCUUGACAAAUCUUUAGUCAUUUCUUGUUGACAAAACUGACAAGUUCACCAUAGGUAAGCUCAUCAUAAGGAAUUCGAUUAUCAUAGAGGGCUUUAAUGGAAUUUCUAACAUUUUCUCCCAAGAGAGUGGGUAAACCAGCAAGGAAUUUCUCUUUCCAUGUUAUAUGGUUUGCAUCAUCUCGGAGGAAAAGUCUGGUGAAGAAAGUGGUUUUAUAGCUUUGGAAUUCACUAAGUUUCCUACAUCUUAAGUUAUGUAGUAACUCAGCAUUUUUAUCUCUAAGGUGAGAAGGGUCACCUAUGAAAUGGAGGGAAACAGUCAAAAUUAAGGUUGCAACUGCAUCCUGAAUUGGACUAUUGAAUUCGUCGAGAAUGGGGGCUCCAUUUUCGUCUACUUAGAUAGAAUUUAGGAUGUCUAUUUGUUGCUGUUUGGUGAGAAGAUGAUCCCACCAACCUUUUAGUUGACCGAUAAAACCAGCAAUAAGAAUUUCUGCAAUGGCUUUGUCAGAAGUUCCUUGUUGAGUUUUAUAAGCAUUGGCUGCCAUGGUCAUCUGUUGUAACAAUCCUAAAAUAUUAUACUCAGACAUACCAUCAAUGUUCCAUUCAUAGACAGAUGAUGCAUUAAAACGAGAUUGGUUUAAUGCACUUGGUCUAUUAUUGAUGGCAAGGUCUGGAGGAGUUCUUACAGUUGGGAGAGCAAGUUCCCAAUGGAUUUUAUUGGCUUUAGGGAUAGACUCAUCUUUGAAAGCUUCUAUGUCAGAAGAGGCUAUAAAAGAUUGAUCCUGUUCUAGUACACCAAUCUUGCUAGAUUGAGCACUAUCAGGAGCAAUUUGGACUUUAGAGGUAGAAGCAAAAGAGGACGCUUCUAUUCGAUCAAAUUGUUCUUUUAUGGCUUUAGCAAAAUCUGAUUUAGAUUCUUGAACAAGCUUUUGGCUAUGUUUCGAAACCUGAAAAGGUUUGAAAAUAGGUUCUUUAAGCUUUUUCAAGGAAUCAGACUUUGAGGGAGUAGAAACUGGGACAAUAACGGUUGACUUUUGGAAUUGACUUUCUAUUCGGGUCAACUGUUUUCCUAUUGUAUUUAGAUUAGCAUUACAGAAAUUAUUCUGUUGAAUGAUGCUAUCUAAAUCUGUAUCUGGAUCUUUAUGGAUUUUAUAAGGCGAAGCUUUAAUCUCAACAGGGGGUUCACCAUGUUCAAUGGUCAGACUCCUAAGAGGUGGAUGCUCAGAUUCUAUGAUUCUUCCACUACCAGAAAGGUUCCAUUCAGCAGUUUUCUUUCUGACAGUAAUGGGAUUUGAUUCUUUAAAAGGAUAGUUAAUGUUGUUAUCUGAAGCAUACAUCUCAAACCAAUCAAAAAACAAUAUGUGAACUUUAUGCAAAUUUACAAACUCAUAAUAAACUUGUUGAAUUUCUUUUUUUUGGUUUAAGAAAUGUUUGAAAAACCAAAGUCUUUUUUCUUUAUUGGAAUUAGAAUAAAAAUCAUUAUGAAGAAGAGUUUUAUCUAAUUCGAAAUCUUUUUCAAGAACAUUUAUUACAUUUUCAGUAAUAGCAGAAAAUGUAGGAGAAGUUGGAGGAGAAUGAUCAUUCUCUUCCUGUCUUUGGCGACUAGUGUAGAUAGGAUGGGGAACACUAAUUGCAUAGUCAACUGAAUGUAUGGAGGAACUAGGUAUAUCCAAGGUGAAAAACCUAGGUUGACUAUUUACUGGUUGGAAAGGGAGAUUUAUAACAGAAAGAAUUUUUGAAAAUUUCCUUUCCAAUGAAGGAAUGCUUGAGGAAGAAUCUUUAUCAGAGAAUCUAGAUGAAGUAGAUCUCCUAAAAGAUAGUUUGACUUUACCAUCUGAAUAUUGAGUCACAUUUUGCAACUCUGUAUUUAGCUCAAGUUGUUUUGGAAUCACUGGUGCAGUGGCUCCUUCGAGAAUCCAUUAGUCUGGAAGAUUGACAUCUUUCCAUUGGAUUGGUUUUGGAAUAACGGUGUUGGCUUUAGACAUGUCACUCUGCAAGAGAAGAGUCUCAUCUCUUUUUGACUGGAAUUUAUGUUGUGUAUUAAACGCUGAAAUCAUAGCUUUAUAUGAUAUUUUGAAAAUUAACGCAACUGGAACAGAUCCUUCUAAUAUGUGAUAGUUAUGUGUUUUGAUAUGUAAAAUCAUGCUUUUCAAAAUAUUCUUGUCUUUUAAAGAAACCGUUAUAUUAGGAUAACAAUCAAAAUAAAUGGGUCAUUUACAGAGACUAGAUUCAAUACUACUGAGUAAGGAAUCAUCAAAGGAGAUGAACCUCCCAUCUCUGAGGACAGCAAGAAUGGAAGUAUUUAAUCCUUCUUUAGUUAAGGGUUUUAUGCCGACUUGGAUUAAACCAAUAUGAACAUAAUUAAAAUUCUUUUCUUUUAAUUUCUUUAAAGAAUGUUCAGAAAACAAAUGAAUUGUCUCAAAUGGCUUUGAGAGUGUGAUAUCUCUUUCUUCUGUCUUUAUAACACAGUCGGUCUUUAAAAAAUCAAGUUUUUUCAUUUUAUAAAUCUUAUCUUUAGAAACCUUUGGUAAAUCUCAAUUGUCAAUUGCUUUAUUAAAAUCUUCAAUAAUGAAUUCUUCUGAAUUCACCACGUUCUUUGAAACACUAGUCUUCUCGGAAGAAGAGCUAGAGAAAGACGAUAUUCUGUGUAGUAGAGAAUCCAUGCAAUUUAAAACUUAAAUUAAAACCUAUAUGAAUGCCUACAGGUAUGGUUUUACUACCCUAAGCGGAAAUCUUUAUCCUAAGACGGGACUUACUACCAGUAAAGAAUUCAGCAAACACACGGAUAUUUGAUAAAAGAAAUAAACAACACAGAUGCUUUACCAAAUAUAACACCUACUUCCCCCUGGCUCUGAUACCAAUAAGGACCAUUAAAAUAUUCUUCUUCUGUUUUGGCACCGGCCAAAAGAGAUUGGGCUUUUGAUUUUUGGGUAAGGAAGGUUCCUUAGGCUUUAAUGUCUUUGAUGGUUGGUUGUAGAAGGCCUUUAGAGGAGAGCCAAUUUUCGAUCAUGUAUAUAUAUAUAUAUAUAUAUAUAUAUAUAUAUAUAUAUUUAGUAAAGGCAUUUUCAUGUUCUCAAGAUAUCAAUAAAAUACAAAAAAAAAAUUAAUUUUAAUAUACUAACAGAUAAAAUGCACAGUUUCUAAUAUAUUGAAAUUUGUAUUUUUUAUAUUUUAGUAACAUUCUCACUUUAACAAAACAAAGAAGAUAUCCUCACUAGAUGAAUUUUGUGUGUGUGUGUGUGUGUAUAUAUAUAUAUAUAUAUAUUUCUCUCAGGUUCUCACUAAAUGAAAUAAUAACAACUAAUUUUUUAACUAAUAUACAUGCAUGUGACUUGUGAGAAUUUUUUUUAAUACAUAGAAAAGAUACUAGAUUAAUUCUUUUUAUUUAAAAUAAUAUAUAGAGAUUCAUCAUCUAAAAGAGAGAUGAAAUUAGGUCUUUUAGAAUUUAAAAUUGGUUCCUUUAGGUAGGGUUGUCCAACAAUUUUUUUUUACAUGCCUUUUUCUAUUUUAUAUUAUAUCUAAAUCUUUGUAUUCAACUUUUUUAUUUCCCUCUUUUCCAUUUUUGGACCACGAAUUUUAUACAUUCAUAUAAUCUUGUGCUAGAUCUUGCAUUAUAAGCUAUGAAUUCAUCAAAGUGGAAGGACCACCAAAUGGUCUUCUUAUUCAUAACUUAAACAAAACUAUUUAUUUUAUUAUUGUUCAUUAAACAAUUAAAAGAAAUUAAAAGUCCUUCGAUUUUUGGUAAGCAUGCAUGCCAUGCCUAAAAAAGAUGGGGAAGCCAACGUGACAUGGGUCCCCAAAUUAAUAUAAAUCGCUGCCUCAUUUAAAUUUCUUUAUUUUUAAUUAAUAUCUCCCAACUUAAAAGAAAUAUUUGGAACUAAUGGUUAAUAGACUUAUGAUUUAUUCUCAUGGAAUUUGGUGAUCGAUGUUUAAGCCCCAUAUACCGACCACCUCUCCUUUAAAUGUGAAUAGAUUUUUCCAAAGUUAUAUUUGGAGAUAGUCAAAAUUAUGGAUCAAAACUUAGCUAAAAAAUGUAAUUCAACAUUCGCACUAUGGUAUAAUAUGAAUAAAGGAAAUUAUCCACCGACCACUUGUUCUUUCCGGUUUCUUCAAAAAUACACAUAUCUUUUUUUGUUGUUGUUGAUUUCUACUAGAAGUUACAUUUUCUUGCACUUUUCCACUUUCGUUUGCAUUCUGUUAUAACCUUGCUAAUGUCAUAGGAGUAAAUUUGUCAUUUCACCUACAUAGCAAAAAUCAACGUCAUUUAAACGCGGUAGAAAGAGGAAAAAAAAGUAAAAAUAUUCUAGAGUAUUUUGUUGAACUUAUCAUCUAAUGUCUAAAUUGCAAAGAAAAAUUGAAGUAAUUUAUUUUUUUUCAUUUAAUUAGGGUGAAAUAGUAAUUUUACAUUAAGGGGGUAAAAUAGUCAUUUUGUUAAUAUUCUGUUAAAUUCUCUCACGGAGUUUAGAUGGCAGUGGAAAAAUGUACAUUUUUUAACUUCAAGUGAAAAUCAGCCAAAAAAAAUGUGUAUUUUUAAAAAUGUCCGAAAAAACAGGUGGUCGGUGGAUAAUUGCCGUAUAAAUAAUCUAACCUAGAAAUUGAAAAUUAACCUAUCUAACUAAAUAUUAGUAAUUGAAUAGAAAAGAUAAAAGAAUACAUAUUAAAUAAUAUAUAUUUUGAUUUUUUUUCAAUGAAAAUUAUGAAUCUAUUUGACUAUUUGAUACAAAUGGAUAAACUAUACUGUUAUUUGAUAAAAUGUAAAAUGUUAGAGAUCUACAUGUUAUUACCCCUUUUCCGUUUAUUUAUUUAUUUUCUUUAAAGCAAAGUGACAAAGAAGUCAAUAAAAAGAGAAAUUAAGAGAUCACUCGAAGAAGUGGAUGUCGCCCUUUGAUGAUCUGUCACGCGGGGCCCAUCUCGCAUGAUCUUGGAACAGAGAAUGACUUACACGCGUUAAGCAUCGGUGCUCAUCGUUUUUGAUUUUAUUUUUUAUUUUCUUUAGAAUGUAACUUUUGUGGUGUGAUCGUCACGUGACACUGCCCAUUGAGACGAUACGGUGGGGUUAUAUUAUUAUAUGCUCUCUUAUUUUUUCUUUAAACACUCGUCUACUCUUUACGAUCACAUUUAAAAUUUAUAAAUUGAAAUUUUAAUCUUGGUACCAUUCAUAAUUCUGAACAUAAUUUCUAUUUUCAAUUUGUAUAUCCAUAAAAUGAACCAUUAUUUCUUUUUCUCACCUUUUUUUCCUCUCUUAACUUAUUUUACUUCUGCAAUGGUUCAAAAAAAAUUAUGGGCAAAUAACUUGAGUAAUUAAUGAAUUGUAAUCUCAAGCAAACGAUUAAAUCUUUAAUAAGUCUUAAGAGUCAUUACACUGCACUGAUUUUUCUAUGUAUUGCUCAUGUAAGUAAUCUCAUCACAAACACCUUCAAACUCACAAAUUCCUCAUCAACUUUACUAAUGUCAAAUCAUUUUUCAAGAAUAAAAAUACCCACCAAAAUAGAUUUAUUGAUGGGUUGCUUAAAUAAUAAAACUUAAUUUUGAGUUUCAAUAGUUUGUAGAAAAUCACAUUGCUCAGGAGGAUGAGGAUAAAAUUGUUUCUUUUGUAUGUCUAUUCACUCUUUUUUAUUUAAUAGGUGGGUCUCAAAAUAAGGUCUCUUUAAGUUACAUUUAAUGUAACAUAUAACCAAGUAAAAUUCAUCAUCUAGUCCACUUGAUCCAACUGUUUUGUUACUCAUUUUUAUACUAAAAAGUCUAGUAGUAAGUUACAACAAAUGUAACUUAGACAAUUCUUUAACAAUAAUUUGGUACAAGGUUAUUCAUAUAAUAAUUUUUUCAAAUUAGAUUUAGAAUGUCCAAAGUAGACUUUAGAAUAUAAAUAGUCUCACCCAUGGCAUGUAGUAUAUUCCACUGGGAUUAUUGUAUCAAUUAAUUAUUUUUUAAUUAACUAGGUAAACCGGGUGUAUCUACUAAAUUUUUCUUUCUAAAUAUGAUUGUUCUAUUCAAAUUUUUUUUUUUUUUUUUUGAGUAUGAUGAUGACCUUUCUUAUCAUUUCUUUUUAUCCAAUUUGCUUAGAAAACCAUCAAUAUUUUUAGUAUCCAUCGUGUCAAUUUUAUGAAAAUAAUUUGGUUACUAUUCAUCAGUCAUCACUUUGAGUAGUUAUAAAAUAAAGUAAAAAUAGCAGUUUAAUUUCAACUAUUGAAGAUUUCAUAUUUAAUAAAAACAAAUAACAAAAAUUUUUUUAAUAUAAAUUAUAAGUGAUUAAUUUGGCUUCUCAAAUGGUCUCUAGUUUUGUGAAUGAAUAAUGCUAAGGAGUACAAUAGUAAUUUUUAAAUUUUAAAAAUAUUAUUGUCUUUCAACAUUAAAAAAAAAUGAUUUUGGCAAUUGUACAAAGGAUUACAUUUUUGUCAUUUUUUCUUUUAUUACCAGUCAUCAAAAUGAAAAUAUUUCCAAAUUAGCUUUGAAGCGAAACAAAAUCUACAAAAGAAGAAAAUACCACUUAUUCUCACCCACAAAAAAAAAAACCUUUUGAAAAAUGAGAAUUUAUCUAUCCUUUGUUUUAAAAAAAAAAAAUUCUCAAUCAACACGAGUUUCAUGCUAAAUCUAUUAAAGACAAGAUCUCAUACUCUUAUACAUAUUCCUUUUUUUCGUAUUGUUGAUUAUUUGAAAAAAAAAAUUGACAUGCACUUCUAAGAAGGAGGAUAUUUUUAUCCCGUCAAUUAUUGGUGUACACAUAAACAUGAUUGAUUUUAAGUGUUUGUCAUUUUGCUUCAUCAAAAUAGCCAUUAAAUGCACAAGAAUAAGGAGUCAACUUCAUGCAUCUUUUGAAUAAAUGGAUAAUCUCUCUCGCCAUAAUUUAAAAAAAAAAAAAUGGCCCCCUAUUAUUGAUUUUUAUGAUAUUUAAAUAGGUUGUAUGGCAUUGGUCCUAAAGUUAAUUAAUGUUACAUAAUUCUAAGCAACUUGUUUAUCAUUAUAUAUAUCCUAUAUUUUAAGCGAAUUGUUUGGUUCUUUGUAAUUUGUAACACCCACUUAAAAAAAUGUCAUGAUUCAUGAGUUCAUUGUACGGAUGAUUAAUUAUUUUAAGUGAAUGAUUUAUUUUCGUUUUGAGUGGAAUUAAAGAAGAAAAUUGGUUAUGGUUUGUUAGAUAUUGAUGGUUUUCUACGAUUCCUUUACUUUAUUUAUUUUUUUUUCAUUUGUAACAAGGUAGUUUUUGUAAAUAAUAUUACAUACUUUUUCUUUCUUUUUAUCUCUUAAAUAAAUUAUAGAGGCAAUUGGAUUUGUUUUCCUAAAAGGUUGUGUGUGUGACUUUCUGUGUAUAUAUAUAUUAAAAUAUUACUAAAUGAAAACACUACGUACAAACGACAAAUAAAAUUUAAUUUAGCGGUUAUCAUUUAGAAUCGUCAUUGUUUGAUGUAUUUAGUGCUAAGAUUUAAUAUAAUAUUUACAUAAUAUGUCAACAUGCUCCUAACGACCUUUUUUUUGAUGUAUGACUUGAAAUAUUAGUAAAACAACUCUCAAAAUUUGACAGUAUUCGGAUGCAUAUGUAUACAUUAAAAUUUAGAACAAAGUAAUCAUAAAAUCUGGGAAUUUAUUUUAUAUACAACUUUGUAUUAUUUUCUGCUUUAUUAUUUUUUAACCAGUAUAUAUUUAGUUUUUAGACUUGACUUGAAUAAGCAUUAUUAAAGAUGUGAAUUUUGUUGAACUAACCCAUCAAUAUACUUUAGUUUAUAUAUAAUGGUCUUCUUCUUCUUCUUUUUUUUAUUUUUUAUUUCUCUUUGUUUGUUUUUGGUUUAAGUUGUAAAAUAGUUACUAGAUUCAAUUCAGUCUUAGCUAAACAAUUAAUUUUUAAAUCAAAGAAUUGAUAAUUGCAAAUUACAUCAAAGCUAAAAUUAUACUAAUCCCCUCAUGUACCAUAUUUUUCAUUCAAAGAUUUUGGAUAAUCGUUUAGGUAUUUUACUAGUCUCAUCCAUUUUAUCAAAUUACAAAUAAAGAUAUAACUUGUAAUUUAUUUUAUAAUGAUCCUUUUGUAACUCAUUAUUAAAAAUAAAAUGGAACUCGUCAGUAACAUUGAUAAAUUAACUAUUAUACACCCCGUGAGCAGUUUAUUCUAGGGGUUGAUUUGUUUUAAAGUUUCUAAUAAUAUAACAAUCAAUUUCUUGAGAACCACCAAAUAGGUAGGUGAUAAACCAUUUCAAAUUUCAUUCAUGUUGCUGGCAAAAUAUUGGUCCCAAGGUACUAAUGGCAUUACACAUGGAGAACAUGAUUCAAGAUUAUGAUAAAGGAUGAAGGGAAAGUUGAGAAGGGAGGAUGAAAUGGGAGAAUUUCAAUGAAUUACUCUCAACCAAAUAGCGACACGAAAUUAUCUCCUACAAAAUAUUUAAUUUGCCACGCGUCCACAUGGGACCACAUUGACAAUCACACAAGGCGCCACUCAGGCAUGUCCCUACCUGAGCUGUCUCCAAAGCAUCUCUUUGUGAGCCGCUAAAGUCAGGACUGAGAAAGGGAGAUCACAAACAAGCCGCCUCCACCAUUCUCUUAACUGAUUCAUUCAAAAUGGGCCAAUUAUAGUUAAGGGCACACUGUCAUUACAAUUUGUCCCUAAAUAGACAGAUGUCCAACCCAAGCAAGCUUAAAUGCUUCUACAAAAGAAGUCAAAUUACUCUUAAGACCCUACCUGAGGAAGAUAAUCACCAAUAAUGACUCGCCAUAUGUCUAAAAGGACAUAAAGAUGCCCUUAGAGAACUCCACUUUAAAAAGUCAGGUUGGUCUCAUUAAAGGGUAAGUUUACUCACUCACAAAACACUUAAAAUCUCCUAUUUUAGGAUUGCUUUGAAAACCCAUCAUCUUCUUUAAUCCCCCACUGACUUGACUAUUAGAGUGAAGCUGGCGGCCAUUGCUAUUGUUGCCUCUAUCGACUGUUCCUUGUGAUUCAGGUUUGUCUCAGUGGUCGCCAUCCUCAUAAAACCAUUUUCCGGACAAACUGACAUCCAUCUUCACCAAAAAACCACCUUUUACAAAGAAGUUCUCAUAUUGUUUUGGGCUAAAUCAGAUCAAAACAAUUCACACGAGAAGAAAUUGCAAAUAUUGAUAUAUAUAUAUAUUUCAUCUCUUUUGUAUUCACAAUUAUUUUUUUUUAUAAAAAAAAAAUCAUUGACCUUUGAUCCGAAAUAAAUACACCUCAAGAUUUGUCCCUUGGAUGAAUAACUAAACCUUAAUGAUAGAAAUAAACAGCUAAACUCUUCACUACGUCAAAAAAUGUAAAUACAAAUAGACUCCUUCCUUUAGUGAAUUUCGCCUAUUAUAAUAUCAUGUUUAUUGUGAAUUUAUGAUAACCGGAUCAUGAAUGGCCGUUUUUAAACUUUUGUCAAUAAAUGUAUUAGCCUUUUCAAAUUAUGCCUUUAUUAGUAAUUAUAUAAAACCCAAGGGAGUCAAAUGUUAUUAGAUAAAAAGAUAAAAAAGUCAGAAUAAGAGGUGAACAAACCUUGUCAGGUAAUUGUCAGUACACACUUAUUCAAUACACUUCUCUCACUCACUCCCUUCGCACACACACUCUUCUCUCUUUCUCUCUCUCUUCAAUCAACGAAACAUAACUAAAAAAGAACAAAAUCAAAAUUAAAAAAAAUAAAACAGCAAAAAUUAAAAGCAAAAAAUCAGAUCAGCAAACAGUUUUCUACUUCUACCUGUUUUGUUUUAAUUGCUUCGAUUUUCAUCUCAUAAGCGUUCAAAUUUUGUGAAGCUGAAAGCUGCAGAAUGCGUGGAAUUUGCUUCCACUUCUCGUUCAAGCGCUUCCAGG
rnacentral:lncRNA from 1 species